CUGCUGCCUUCCGUAGGAGUCUGGCCGUGUCUCAGUCCAGUGUGGGGGGCCUUCCUCUCAGAACCCCUACGCAUCGUCGCCNCGGUGGGCCGUUACCCCGCCGCAGCUAAUGCGCCGCAUGCCCA
rnacentral:rRNA from 1 species